GCCACCAUAGCUCAAUUGGUGAGAGCAUUGGGCGUGUAACCCGAAGGUUGCAGGUUCGGUCCCUGCUGGUGGCA